rnacentral:piRNA from 1 species
GGUACUGAUGCUUUAUCCACGGGGGA